rnacentral:rRNA from 1 species
UACGGAGGGGGCUAGCGUUGUUCGGAAUUACUGGGCGUAAAGCGUACGUAGGCGGCUUUGUAAGUUAGAGGUGAAAGCCCGGGGCUCAACUCCGGAAUUGCCUUUAAGACUGCAUCGCUUGAAUCAUGGAGAGGUGAGUGGAAUUCCUAGUGUAGAGGUGAAAUUCGUAGAUAUUAGGAAGAACACCAGUGGCGAAGGCGGCUCACUGGUCCGGUACUGACGCUGAGGUGCGAAAGCGUGGGGAGCAAACAGG